GGGAAUCGAACCCCGGUCAGUACCGUGGGAGGGUACUAUGAUACCACUACACCAGCUGCGCAGAAAGGUGGAAGACCCUCUAACCCUUGACAUUAAUGAUUUAGGAAUAAAAUAUACAUAGAUAUCUGUUUUUUCUUCUUUCUUUCUCUUUUUUGAGAUUUUGACUGCAGGUCCUUUACUCAGAAGUGGUGGUUAGGGAUGGAAGACUUUUCUCCUAAGGAAUAGGAGAGUUUUGACUGCAGAAGUUUCUACAAGCGGCAAUGUGAACCUUUAUGGUAAACUUAGGAUUGUAUUAAGCAGCAGAAGUAUUAGGGUAUCUAUUGAGCCUUUAAGAGUGAUGGCAGACAAACUGGUGUGUGCACCUUUGGGUGCUUAUGUGGUUCCAUGCUUAUGCAAUCUCUAUGAAGUGGGUUCCUUGAGGAAUGCUAUUGUUUAUAAUCUUCGAUGGUGGAUAUGGCGUUCCUGCAUUUUCUGUGAUAUUUCCGAAUUGGUGCGCUGGUAAGGAGGCAGACAUGAGUGCUGCAACAUAGUCCUCUGAAACUAGGGUGAGCCAUGUUUUGUAUGUCAUCACGUAAUCAUUAAAAAUGAUGGUUUGGGGUAGCUGAACAAUUCAGGCAGUUAACGAUAACGAUCGACGCAUUCUUUGUUAGAACUAUAAAGCUUUUUAAAAGGUGUGGAAUAAACUGAAGUAGUUAAUUAAAAAAUGGUUUUUAGGUUAACAGGAUUCUAAUAUUAAAUUUUCUGUUUAUACGUAUAUCAAUCGGUGAUUGUAAGAAAAUAAGGAUACAUUUUAAGUAUCUAAUAAUUUGAUCUAAUAAGUAGCAUGAUUUUUAUUUUUAUUUAUUUAAAUAUUUUUUUGUUCGUGAUUUUUUUCAUUUCUCCAUGCUCUUGAAUAAAUAUGUAGAUCCUCAUGAUAGAAAUAAUGUAUCUGAUUAAAUUUGACGAUGUCGUCGAUCUAUUAUUAGCCCUUCCAGGGUGACCAC
rnacentral:lncRNA from 1 species